rnacentral:tRNA from 1 species
GCCUCGGUGCCUCAGAUGGCUAGAGCGCCUGCCACGUAAGCAGGAGAUUCCGGGUUCGAGUCCCGGUCGGGACA